GACCGUGUCAGGGAGAUAAAGCGCAGCAUCAAUUGGCAAGAAAGCCCCGACCAGGUAUAGAACAUAAAGAGGCGCAACACCAGACUCCCCAAAUGUUAGCAGCAACUGAUUGAAAAUGCAACAGUAAUUCAAGUGAGUGAAACCUGAAAAGCCCUUUGAAGAGGCACUCUGGCCAAGCUGAUAGCGGCUGCAGUCUGAUUUGUGUAACCCACGCAUAUCUCAAAUUACUCAGUCCUCUGCUCUGCCGACCAGCUCCACACCUGUCAACAGAUCGAGAAGUACCAGCAGCCUGUUCUCUAAGGAGCAGGGAAAUGAGUGGAGGCAGACUGACACAGAGAGUGAAAGCACACACACCUUAGAAGAGAAAAGAAAGGCAAUGACCUUGGUCUCAUCUCAUCCUGACAAUGCUGGUGUCUUCAAGAUAAGAUGGGAAUAUGUGUCUCGAGAAAAUGAAGAUCUGAACUGAAUCGCUGAGUGGGAGAAGGAGCUGAUGAGCAAAGCAUUUCUGAUUUCUGCCAAAUGUUGUCACAAC